CGUUAAGACCACGCUCGUUUCACUGUCGAAAAGAGCUAGUUACUGUCACGAUUAUUAUACUUUUCUGUGUUUCGUGAAGCCAUUUAUUCAGCUUUUUCAGCUCGUUUUCUGUUCUGAGCUGUCAGUUCAAACCUUAUUCUGAGUGCUUUUGCUUGUCUAGCAUUGGCUUCAUAUCUAUAUUCCCUGUCUGUGUGUAUA